CGGGGAGUGGCGCAGCCCGGUAGCGCGUCUGCUUUGGGAGCAGAGGGUCGCAGGUUCGAAUCCUGUCUCCCCGACCA
rnacentral:tRNA from 5 species